UGGUAAACAUAAAAAAAAAUUAAAAAAAAUUGAGAAAAAAAGAGAGAAUUUGAGUGGCAAAAGUUGCUACUAGGGUGAUAAAAUUUUCAGCAAGUGUUGCUUGAGUGCCCUAGGAUUUAAUUUUUUCAUAUGUUGGAGCCAAAAAUCAAAUCCUAGAUUGUAUGACAUCUGAAGGGUAUCUUCUUGGUGUCAUUCUGGUAAUGAGAUUGAAAGUAGCUGGACUUUGGUGCGAUCGUGACGCAAGUUCGAAGCCGGCAG
rnacentral:lncRNA from 1 species